CCCCAGUAUCCAUCAUCCGGGUAUCUGAAGACUUUAUGCCGAAAGCCCCUAAUCAUUGGCUGUUGCCCAAGAGUCAAAAUCAUCAUCAGGAAAUACUUUAAAAAUGAAAGGCUUGCUCCCACCACCUUGUCAAAUUCUGCAACCUGAUUCCUGAUCAGACUCUGAGCCGGCAACAGCCAUAUUGGUUGGAAGAGCCACAUCACACACAUAUUCAGUUAAUUUAAUAACUUUGAAUAUGGAAAAUGAAAGAUAUCUGGUGAGUUUUGGACCAAUAAGUGAAAUGGAAUGACAUUUUUAACAAGUGGAUCUGCAUUUUGAUGCAUAAGGACCCACACGCACAAGGAUGCAGGAUUCUUGUGAAAUAACACUCAUGUGGUCCAGGGCUUUCCUUGAGACAGCAAGGCUAUACAUCAUGCUCCCCCAACCUGCCAUACAGCAUGGGUGGUGUGAUGUUACCCUAAGGUGCCAUAGCAGUUGUGCAAGUUAUUGACUCUGUUAAACAGAAGUGCUUUCUUCCGCCGCUUAUACCCCCUAAAACUAUAUUC